rnacentral:rRNA from 1 species
GCACAAGCGGAGGAACAUGUGGUUUAAUUCGAUGAUACGCGAGGAACCUUACCGGGGUUUGACAUGCAGGUGAUCGCCGUUGAAAGACGGUUUCCUCUUCGGAGGCACCUGCACAGGUGCUGCAUGGCUGUCGUCAGCUCGUGUCGUGAGGUGUCGGGUUAAGUCCCAUAACGAGCGCAACCCUUAUCGUUAGUUGCCAUCUGGUAAUGCAGGGGACUCUAGCGAAACUGCCACCGUAAGGUGAGAGGAAGGUGGGAUGACGUCAAAUCAGCAGGCCCUUAUGUCCAGGGCUACACACGUGUUACAAUGGUCGGUACAGAGGGCAGCUACCUGGUGACAGGAUGCUAAUCUCGAAAACCGGCCUCAGUUCGGAUCGAAGUCUGCAACUCGACUUCGUGAAGCUGGAUUCGCUAGUAAUCGCGCAUCAGCUAUGGCGCGGUGAAUACGUUCCCGGGCCUU